GGCCAAAGCCCUAUUCAUUCUCGACAUAUACUGGGCCGAAGCCUUUCAUUUAACGGUUACUGGGCCGAAGCCUUUUCAUAAAUCAUAUCACUGGGCCGAAGCCUUUACUGUAAACGAUAUGGCCCAUAGGCCCAUUUCACUAUCACAUGAAAUACCAACGAAUGUAUGCAAGCCCAUUUGGGGAGACUACUCAACCAACCAUCUGCUACUCUCCACCCGUACCAACCAAGCUCUCCAUGUAGGGAAUAACUCAACC
rnacentral:lncRNA from 1 species